rnacentral:rRNA from 1 species
UACAGAGGGGGCAAGCGUUAUUCACAUUGAUUAGGCGUAAAGGGUGCGUAGGCGGGCUUAUAAGUCAGUGCUGAAAUAUCCCGGCUUAACCGGGAGGGUGGCAUUGAUACUGUAGGACUUGAGUAAAGUUGAGGUUGGCGGAAUUGACGGUGUAGCGGUGAAAUGCUUAGAUAUCGUCAAGAACACCUAUAGCGAAGGCAGCUAACUAAACUUUAACUGACGCUGAGGCACGAAAGUGUGGGGAUCAAACAGG